rnacentral:misc_RNA from 1 species
AACGCAAAUGGCGCUGUAGGGUUCUCUCUACAGCAUGUCUGUUUGAGUGUCAGUUUCAUUCCCUCUCAAUGCACUCUUAUUAAGGGUGACACUGGGGCUAGAUAUGAGGUGUUGACUCUUUUCUAAAGAGACAUCCCUUUAAAUUGAAACAAAACUCAAGGGUUUAUAAACACAUGGGAGUGUGUGUAUGCCUAUGCAUACUUAUACAAUAUCGAAAACAGCUAUGCAAGAUAGAGAGGUUGAGGGUCUCGUAGCCUCUCCUCCCUUGUAUACUGUCUUUUGGUGUGGUAACUUUACCAUCGUCAAUCGAUAGAUGUUGCUAUAAAGAUGCGGUACUACCUCACCCCCCUCUACUUAUGACCUCAAAUCAGGCAAGACUACCCGCUGAACUUAA